rnacentral:rRNA from 1 species
AUGUACUGGACAGUGUCAGUUACUUGGAUAACUGCGGUAAUUCUGGAGCUAAUACAUGCGUACGAGCCCCGACUCACGGAGGGGCGCUUUUAUUAGACUAAAACCAAACGGCCUCGGUCGUUCCACUGGUGAAUCUGAAUAACUUUGAGCGGAUCGCACGGCCUCGUGCCGGCGACGUGUCCUUCCAAGGUGUGCCCUAUCAACUGUCGACUGUGGCAUAGACGCCCACAGUGGUUUUGACGGGUAACGGGGAAUUAGGGUUCGAUUCCGGAGAGGGAGCCUGAGAAACGGCUACCACUUCUAAGGAAGGCAGCAGGCACGCAAUUACCCACUGGCCGAAGGCCGAGGUAGUGACGAAAAAUAACGAUACCAGACUCAUCCGAGGCCUGGUAAUCGGAAUGAGCACACUUUAAAUCCUUUAGCGAGGAACCAUUGGAGGGCAAGUCUGGUGCCAGCAGCCGCGGUAAUUCCAGCUCCAAUAGCGUAUAUUAAAGUUGUUGCGGUUAAAAAGCUCGUAGUUGGAUCUCGGCUCGCAGGGGGCGGUCCGUUAUUUGACGCGACUGCCCCAUUUGCGGGUGUUUCUUCGGCGGAACUCCCGGGGUGCUCUUCGCCGAGUGUCUCGUUGGGGGCCGCCAGGUUUACUUUGAAAAAAUUAGAGUGCUCCAAGCAGGCUCGACACGCCUGAAUAUUUGUGCAUGGAAUAAUGGAAUAGGACGUCGUUCCUAUUUUGUUGGUUUUCGGGAAUCGACGUAAUGAUUAAUAGGGACAGCCGGGGGCAUUAGUAUUCAGACGACAGAGGUGAAAUUCUUGGACCGUCUGGCGACUCACUGCUGCGAAAGCGUUUGCCAAGUAUGUUUUCAUUAAUCAAGAACGAAAGUUAGAGGUUCGAAGGCGAUCAGAUACCGCCCUAGUUCUAACCAUAAACGAUGCCAGCUAGCGAUCCGCCGAUGUUUUUAUUGUAGGCUCGGCGGGAAGCUUCCGGGAAACCAAAGCGUUUGGGUUCCGGGGGAAGUAUGGUUGCAAAGCUGAAACUUAAAGAAAUUGACGGAAGUGCACCACCAGGCGUGGAACUUGCGGCUUAAUUUGACCCAACACUGGAAAUCUCACCAGGCCCGGACACCGGAAGGAUUGACAGAUUGAGAGCUCUUUCUCGAUUCGGUGGGUGGUGGUGCAUGGCCGUUCUUAGUUGGUGGAGUGAUUUGUCUGGUUAAUUCCGAUAACGAACGAGACUCCGUCCUGCUAAAUAGUUGCGACGUCACACGUGCGUUGCAAAUUCUUCUUAGAGGGACU